rnacentral:rRNA from 1 species
AAUGUGAAUUGCAGGACACAUUGAUCAUCGACACUUCAAACGCACUUGCUGGCCAGGGUUCCUACCCAGGCUACGCCUGUGUGAGCAUCG